CUUUCUUUUGCUGGCGACCGGCGCACGGGUGAGUAACACGUAUCCAACCUGCCCUUUACUCGGGGAUAGCCUUUCGAAAGAAAGAUUAAUACCCGAUAGCAUAAUGAUUCCGCAUGGUUUCAUUAUUAAAGGAUUCCGGUAAAGGAUGGGGAUGCGUUCCAUUAGGUUGUUGGUGAGGUAACGGCCCACCAAGCCUUCGAUGGAUAGGGGUUCUGAGAGGAAGGUCCUCCACAUUGGAACUGAGACACGGUCCAA
rnacentral:rRNA from 1 species